AUUCUGCCCAAGCGGGGAAGGAUGAGAAGCUUCGACCAGGGUUCGACUCGAGCGCCAGCGAGAGAGCGUGGCCGCAGGCAACGACCCGAAGGGCGAAGCGCGCAGCGCUGAGUAAUCCUUCCCCCACCACCA
rnacentral:sRNA from 1 species